UAACACUUGGAAACAGGUGCUAAUACCGUAUAACAAUCGAAACCGCAUGGUUUUGAUUUGAAAGGCGCUUUCGGGUGUCGCUGAUGGAUGGACCCGCGGUGCAUUAGCUAGUUGGUGAGGUAACGGCUCACCAAGGCCACGAUGCAUAGCCGACCUGAGAGGGUGAUCGGCCACAUUGGGACUGAGACACGGCCCAAACUCCUACGGGAGGCAGCAGUAGGGAAUCUUCGGCAAUGGACGAAAGUCUGACCGAGCAACGCCGCGUGAGUGAAGAAGGUUUUCGGAUCGUAAAACUCUGUUGUUAGAGAAGAACAAGGAUGAGAGUAACUGUUCAUCCCUUGACGGUAUCUAACCAGAAAGCCACGGCUAACUACGUGCCAGCAGCCGCGGUAAUACGUAGGUGGCAAGCGUUGUCCGGAUUUAUUGGGCGUAAAGCGAGCGCAGGCGGUUUCUUAAGUCUGAUGUGAAAGCCCCCGGCUCAACCGGGGAGGGUCAUUGGAAACUGGGAGACUUGAGUGCAGAAGAGGAGAGUGGAAUUCCAUGUGUAGCGGUGAAAUGCGUAGAUAUAUGGAGGAACACCAGUGGCGAAGGCGGCUCUCUGGUCUGUAACUGACGCUGAGGCUCGAAAGCGUGGGGAGCAAACAGGAUUAGAUACCCUGGUAGUCCACGCCGUAAACGAUGAGUGCUAAGUGUUGGAGGGUUUCCGCCCUUCAGUGCUGCAGCUAACGCAUUAAGCACUCCGCCUGGGGAGUACGACCGCAAGGUUGAAACUCAAAGGAAUUGACGGGGGCCCGCACAAGCGGUGGAGCAUGUGGUUUAAUUCGAAGCAACGCGAAGAACCUUACCAGGUCUUGACAUCCUUUGACCACUCUAGAGAUAGAGCUUCCCCUUCGGGGGCAAAGUGACAGGUGGUGCAUGGUUGUCGUCAGCUCGUGUCGUGAGAUGUUGGGUUAAGUCCCGCAACGAGCGCAACCCUUAUUGUUAGUUGCCAUCAUUCAGUUGGGCACUCUAGCAAGACUGCCGGUGACAAACCGGAGGAAGGUGGGGAUGACGUCAAAUCAUCAUGCCCCUUAUGACCUGGGCUACACACGUGCUACAAUGGGAAGUACAACGAGUUGCGAAGUCGCGAGGCUAAGCUAAUCUCUUAAAGCUUCUCUCAGUUCGGAUUGCAGGCUGCAACUCGCCUGCAUGAAG
rnacentral:rRNA from 1 species